GUUACUUUGGCCGAGUUGUUAAGGCGUGUGCCUGCUAAGUACAUGGUGUUUUACCGCGAGAGUUUGAAUCUCUCAGGCGACG
rfam:Ipomoea nil DNA, scaffold: scaffold0761, cultivar: Tokyo-kokei standard.